ACGCUCGACACCUACGGGGGGCAGCAGUGGGGGAUAUUGCACAAUGGGGGAAACCCUGAUGCAGCAACGCCGCGUGAGGGAAGACGGUUUUCGGAUUGUAAACCUCUGUCAUCGGUGACGAUAAUGACGGUAGCCGAUGAGGAAGCUCCGGCUAACUACGUGCCAGUAGCCGCGGUAAUCUGAGCGGGCUGGCAAGGC
rnacentral:rRNA from 1 species